GGCACCAGCUCGCCGCACGCCGCUCCAGCUCGACCCUACCCGCAGUCGGGCCGCUCCUACACACGCUCCACCAUCGUCGCCUCCCUCGGCGAUCUGUGCGCCGCGGUGUCGUCGUCUUCAGAUCCGCUCGCGGACAUGGUGCCGGAGCAUAGCAGCCCGUGGAAAGGGAGUGAGCACGGGCGGUCCUGCCGCGCCUCUCCUCAGCUUCACCUCCGGCCAUGCCCCUCCUCGCCUCCCCCACCCCCUCCAGUUCCCCACCAUGCAGUCCUCCCUGAGGCUACGGAUGGCACCGGCGCCGGCGUCGGCAGGGGGUGACGGGAAGGAGCACCUCCUGGAGGUGCGGUGCGCCGCAGUGUGCAGUCUCCUGGCCGUCUACCUUUCAGAUGCGACACACGGGUGAUGGUUGCGGCGGCGGCGGCGGGCAGCGGGUGCGGUCCGCGUAGGCGGCGGACGGAUGCGCGGAAAUCACAUCUUUCUUCAACCUGCUCGUCUCCUCACAUCUAUGCGUGGAAAUCAGGAGCAGCGGAGGCAGGGUGGGCACCAAGCCGAAGAAGUACGACACGCAGAUAGGCACACAUCAGUGGCAGGAACGCACAGUUUAUGUUCACACAUACUGCGAAAUCUGAUGCAUGGCUCUCCAAUUAUGUCCAUAUGCAAACUUUAGUUGAGGUAAGCCCAACUUUCCCCUACAAGAAGUUUCCCUUAUUGAUUCAAUGUAGAAAUAAAUUUGGAUCAACAUAGCUGUAUUGUAGGUUUUUAGCAAAGAUAUCAUUGCCUUACUCCUUAACUGAUUAUUGAGCAAAUUUUAGAUAAAGUUAUGUACAAGUACCACAUCUCAGCGAUUAUAUGGUUAAGUUCAAUUUGGGAUGGUAGCAGUAAUCAACCUGCUGUGCUUUAUGUGAAUCAUAUUGAUGCCUGAAGCUCAUCUGUACUCAGUUCGUGCUCCUUGAAUUGUAUUCCUAUUUAUUUCAGUAGGCACGAUUCAUUUAGUAUAUUUUAUCACUUAAGUUUACCUAUGUCAGUUAUCGCUGCAACCUAUAUGUACAUUGAUACCUCAUAUUUUCUUUGAUUGAUUCUUACUAUUACUACUUCUUACUAGGUAGUACUAUUUUCCUUGGUGGAUCAUGAAGUCCUGGUAGCAAGUGGCAAUAGCUCAGUAGCUAUUAUGGAUGAGAAGUUGGAUGCAAAGAUGAAAACAUGAGUGUAAUAACUAGCUAUUCAAUGUGCUUCUUAACUUACCUGAGAUAUUAUUUUUUUUGACAUGAUGUACUUUGAGAUAUUGGCUCUAAUAUAUACUCUCUGAUUUCUGGGCUGGAAUUGUUGUUUUUAUUUAUGGGCUAAGUGGUGGGCUGAAUUUUA